UGCGAUUCGACAAAGUUAUCAUGAUUCACCGCAACACCGGGCAAGCCCGCAUCGGCCUUUUAUCUAAUAAAUACGUCCCUUCCAAAAAGUCGGGAGUUUGUGCACGUAUUAGCUCUAGAAUUACUACGGUUAUCCGAGUAGCAAGGUACCAUCAAAGAAACUAUAACUGAUUUAAUGAGCCAUUCGCAGUUUCACAGUACAAAAGAGUUAUACUUACACAUGCAUGGCUUAAUCUUUGAGACAAGCAUAUGACUACUGGCAGGAUCAACCAGGUAGCUCUUCCUCCUCCCCCCGGGGGCUCGGACUAUAACCGUCUUUACAAAAUUGGCCUUUUUUUUCUUUUUUCCUUUCAUCGAUGACACCUUCUUUUUCUUUUUCACGAUGCGUCAGACCUCCCCGGUUUUUUCCCUUUUCGGGCACACACACCCCCCAAGAAGAAACCAAAACACACCAUCAUUCACGUUCCAAAAGGGGGGUCCUUCCCCCCCUCUCUCACUCUCCCUCUCGAGAUACCUGUUCCGGUUCGAACUGUGCUGUGUCGAACUUUAGCACCACCCCCUUUUCCCCCCUUCACACACCCCGCACAAGACUCUGUGCGCCCACCUCCUGGAACUGGAUAUGAAAGCCCAAGGGGCCCUUUUCUUGCCCUGUGCAUGGUCCACCAUCCGAAGAAUGCUGACUAAUGCUGUGCCUGUGAAUGGCAGUGGACGAGAUAAGGAAGAUGGACACCCCAACCUCCCCCCCCCCUCCGACCCCCAAGUUCGCGACCCGCUCGACGGACAACCCCAGGCUGACUAACAUGAUGAGGUAUCACCUCCAGAGAAGUCCCCUCCGGUUGGAGGGGCUCCGCCUCGCUACUAGCUUUCCGGUGCCUUGCAGGAAAUGCCGAACCCCACCCUUCCAUGGAUCCCGUCGUGAUCUACAACAAACAUUGAAACAUAAUACGCACCCCUUACUGCGCCGCGUCUGUUUCCCGGAAAACUACUUGGAGCUGAUUGAAUUGUGCUAUCCGUCCUUUGAGGUCCCCUCCGAACGCCAAGAGAGCCUAGCCACGAAAACCCGUUCGAUGGUACCGAACUAGUAUUAUAUGGCCUGUAUCUCUCUCCCAACAUCCGGCUGGAACAAACCCCCCAGAACUUCCUGCGAAGUUGACCCCUCCAUCACCUCAUCCGAUCGAUUUCAUCCACCUCUCGCCUCCUACCUCCGCACCACCUGAAGUACAUUCUAAGCCCUGGCCCCCAAACCUUUGACGGAGAGGGGGGUCGAUAGUCCACUUCUUAAGCAAUAGUCCGGUGGGGGAGAAACGGCUAACCCGCACCUUAUAUUGACAUAGGCUAGCAUAUGGAGUAACCCUCGUUGAACCAAGGCCCCCCGACCCGCUUUGGCUGAUCGGGGGGUUCCGGGAGCAAAUUCUGGUGGGCGAGUACAGUGGAUCCUAGAUCGAUCGAACAAGGUAACUUCGAAAACAAACUCCCGAAUCUUUCCCAAACAGCUCUUCCAUAGUUUUUCCAGUCCGCAGCAACGACUCAGGUUUGGAUGGGCGAAAUCACGACGGCAGCCACAAAAAAAUGGAUCUCCGACAUCACACAACCCGACACACCUAAGUUUCGCGAGGCUCGGCCCCUCUUCCCCUUCGGAUGUCCCCUUCGGUACACCACCACAUCAUGCCAUCCAGUCUGGAGCGUCGCCGACUCCCGUUGGCCAAGGUAGGGCCAACACAAGAGUAGCGGACGAACCAGUCAUCUGGUCUUACCGGAGAAAGGGAGAGGUAGACUGCCACCACCAAACCCCACCCAAGCACACACCAGGCAGCAAAAAGCCAUCAUCCUAAAAGAUGGUCCCACUUCACAAGACGAGGAGGUUCCCCGUCCUUCAUUCCAACCCCAGGGAGAACACACACACCCUUCUUUGCGAUGGAUAAAAGGCAAAAAGAGAGGGCAAAAAAGCCAACGGCAAAUUCCAACCAGACCCCCAGAGGCACACACCACAAAAAGUGAAGCCAGAGAGAGCCAGACAAAGAGAAGGAUAGAGAGAGAGGGAGAGUUAGACCCCCCCGGAAGAGAAUCAUAGGUGCUGCGGCCUUUUUCGGGAAUGUGACCAGGAAAGAGAGAAACCGACGAGGCCGAUACACACAUUAAAAAAUGAAAAAGUAACCAUCACCGCGAAGGAUUUUCCUCAAAAGACAAAUCAGCAAGAAGUAUGUCCAAUCCCGGGGGCCCAUCGCCCCUCCAAUUAAUGGAGGGGUCGGAUAGAAAUUUAUAGAAAUGUUACUUUUGUGAAACCCCUAGCCGACGAGAGAACUCUCACCGGUUUCGAAGUUCCAUUUUCACAUUCCGACCUGGGAUGUUAUGACUCCUCGGCCCACACUGCGAACGCGUCCCACACCCCCUCCAAGUUUAUCAGGAAUUUCCCUGAGCUUGCAAUAGAGAUCGAGCGCGGUGGCGGUCACAGUGGUGGUCGACCAGGCGGAGCUUGAACGGCCUCGGCAAACACUUCUCCCCACCCUCCCAAAUGAAUGAGAGAAUGGCUUGACAAUACCGAGGCCAUCGCCCCCCGCCAAAAAUGGUUACUAGCUCUUGGGACUCGCUGCGACGUUACGCGUAUCGGCACAAGACCAACCCUCUUUUUCCAGUCGCCCGCGCACCAAAAAAAAUUUUGGCAGCGGGACUCACAAUCCUUGACAGCCAGCUCACCAUAUAAUACUCGGCGACCCUCCGCGGGACCUCCUCAGAGGGUCGCGUCGCCGGGAAACUAACCCCCACUCCUCACUGAUCCAAGGUAACACGCCAGAAGUAUCCAGGUAACCCCAGUAGUAUCAGGUAUCCCCCUGCGAACGUCGGUACUGGGCUCAAAGAAGGCAGCGAGCAGUCGGGACCCGUAGGCACCGAGCAACCGUCACCCCCUCACGACUUUUCCCGAGACGCUUCAGAGGAACCCUCCCCCACAUAGUACUCUCUGUGGGAUUCGGCAGGCCCCCCCGUCCUACUGCACUAAGGAAGUUCCGAGACACACUUUUUUUUGUGGAAGACCACCCACCCUCCCUGUCCUGCCUGCUAUCCCCGCCGCGACUCCUGGUCCCGGCCCUCCUCCCCGACUUCCUCCUUGUCCCGCUGCGAGUCCCGGACCUCCUCCCCCACUACCUACUCCCGCCGCGAGUCCCAGUCCCGGCCUCCUCCUCCUCCUCCUCUUCCCUAGUCCCGGCGCGAGUCCCGGACCUCCUCCCCCACUUCCUAGUCCCGUCGCGAGUCCCGGACCUCCUCCCCCUCUUCCUAGUCCCGGCGCGAGUCCCGGACCUCCUCCUUCUCUUCCUUGUCCCGCCGCGAGUCCCAGUCCCGUCGCGAGUCCCGGACUUCCUCCUUCUCUUCCUUGUCCCGCCGCGACUCCCUAGUCCCGUGGCGAGUCCCGGACUUCCUCCUCCUCUUCCUAGUCCCGGCGCGAGUCCCAGUCCCGGCGCGAGUCCCGGACUUCCUCCUCCUCUUCCUUGUCCCGCCGCGACUCCCUAGUCCCGGCGCGAGUCCCAGUCCCGUCGCGAGUCCCUUGUCCCGCCGCGACUCCCUAGUCCCGGCGCGAGUCCCAGUCCCGUCGCGAGUCCCGGACUUCCUCCUCCUCUUCCUUGUCCCGCCGCGACUCCCUAGUCCCGGCGCGAGUCCCAGUCCCGUCGCGAGUCCCAGUCCCGUCGCGAGUCCCGGACUUCCUCCUCCUCUUCCUUGUCCCGCCGCGACUCCCUAGUCCCGGCGCGAGUCCCAGUCCCGUCGCGAGUCCCGGACUUCCUCCUCCUCUUCCUUGUCCCGCCGCGACUCCCUAGUCCCGGCGCGAGUCCCAGUCCCGUCGCGAGUCCCGGACUUCCUCCUCCUCUUCCUUGUCCCGCCGCGAGUCCCGACCUCUUGUCCCGCUCCCUUGCCCAAGUCCCGACUCCUGGCUGUCUCGACUCCUCGUUGGCCGCCCAGUCUUCCGCAUAGGUGGAAAUAAAUAAAUAAAUCAUUUUUUAAAAAAUCAAUUUUAAAAUUAACUCCCUGUCUCGACUCCUUGCUGGCCGCCCAGUCUUGCGCCUAGACAGAAAUAUAAAUAAAAAAUAAAAAUAAAUUGGUGAAUUAAAAAUAUUAAAGUAAUUUAAUUAACUGGAAUAAGGUAGAAAAAUAAAAGGCAGAAGAAUACUAAAUUGAUUUUUUCAAGUGCCACGUGUUACCUUGCUGAUGUGGCUGCCACGUGGUAGUCCAUGUCAUGUCAAAAAUCCACUAAAUCGUUUACAUGUCACUUUGGAGAUAAUUUGUGUGUGUGCAAUCAAUUGGUUGUACAAAUAUGUUAAUGACUUGCUAACUAAUGCAUCGUACAGGUAAUCAUUGCCCACUAACUAAUCCAUCACCACUGAAACUUAAUGUCUUCAAUUCUUCAUCCUUCACACUCCACAUCCAAUUUAUUUUUGUUUGUGUGAAUUCUUAAAUCUAUCUUCUCUUUACAUACUCCAAGCCCAACUUUCUAAACCCUUUAUAUAAUCUAUGUGAAUCCUAGAAUCUAGGUUUAUAUACCCCAUGCAAACCCUAAAACCCUAAACCCUAAACCCUAACCCCUACCCCUCACUCAUACUUUGUUCUUUUAAUCAUACAACCUAGACUCUGAAAUUUAAUCUCAUAACAUAUAAACUAGCAUUGUAAUUUCAAAACCCAACAUUUUGUAUUGUGACAAUACUUGUUUGCAAAUAUGCAUCCUUCAUUUACUUUUAUUUUUUUAACACUACACUGUGCCACAUCAGCACCAAUAGAUCAAAAUCCUUGAUAAAUUAACCUCUAACAUGUAAAUAUUAUAUUCUCCACCCUUUCAGCUUUUAUUUUUAUUUUUUUUAACUUUUUGAAAUGCCACGUCAGCUACCUGGCUGCCCCGUCACAUGACAAAUGCUAAGUGGACUGCCAUGUCGGAGAAGAAGAUGCCACGUCGGAGAAGGUUCAAGCGGAUGCAAAAUGGAUGCAGCACCGGGACUUCCCGGGAGGUCACCCAUCCCAGUA
rnacentral:lncRNA from 1 species